GCGCUUCGGACUCAAGGCUCCGUCAGCUGCAGUCCCAGCCCUGAAGGGACCUCCUCCUACGUCCCAGUUGGUUCAGUCAAGUCUCCAUUGUACAAGACAAUCCCCAGGAAGGACCAGGACAUAUUUCUGCCCCAGGAGUAGAGGCUUACUGGAGAAGGCUUUGAGCCGGGUUCCAUUCCAGCGGAGGCUGGGGGGCUGGGGGGCCCAGAGCACGGGGGUCAGGCGGCCAAAGUGAGCACUGGCCAGCGUCAGGCCAUAGCAAGGGAGCAUUUCGGGCCAGGCUCAUGGGGGCAGGGAGCCACGGUGCACGGCCCGGAGGCGGCCCCAGCCGGUUCCCGCCAGGUGACAGAGGACUGCUUUGGCGAGCACUCCCUGCCCCGGAGGACACCCACCUUGGGAGGACCAGAUGCAGCAGACACGGGGAAGGAAUGAGUGCUGGAGCCCCGUUUCUGGAUGCCUGCUUCUGGAGUUCAUGUCUCCUGAGACUCAGCCCUGGGGCUGGGGGUUUGGGCAGCUCCAGAGAAACCGGAGCCCUCCUUCCUGGGCCCCAGUGGGGGCCCCCACAAGCUGAGGCCACCCCACCCCAAACCCGCAGGGUGCCCGCUGCUGGCAGGCUGAUGCUCGGUUUGCCUUCUGCUAGCACCCUGUGGACCCCUGGGCCCAGAGGCAGCCCUGGGGGGGCUCUCCAGGGGCCCCUCCUUUUGGGGCACCAGGCUGCUCCUCUGCAGGGCGUGCCCGGCCUCAGGCCCCUUUGACCACCUGGAAUCCUGGUCCGACACUUAACCACCCUGAGACGUUGGCUCCCACCUGGGCCACAGGACCCGAGGGGAGGGUGUACAAGGUUGUUCACGGAAUGACCUUCACUCCCAUCCAAGUGCUAACCAGGCCCGACCCUGCUCACCGUCCGAGAUCCGACGAGACGGGGCGCGUUCAGGGUGGUACGGCCGUCGACACAAGACGAAAUCAGAGGGGGAGACAAACCAUGAGAGACUCUGAACUCUGGGGAACACACUGAGGGGGGCUGGAGGGGAGGGGGGUGGGGGACGGGGUCCCUGGGUGACGGACAUGGAGCAGGGCACGCGAUGGGAUGAGCACCGGGUGUAGCAGAAGACCGAUGAAUCACUAAACUACCUCUGCAACGAAUAAUACACUCUAUGUAAAUUAAUUGAGUUUAAAUUAAAAAAACAAAAACAAAACCCUACAAAGAAACAAGAGAACAAAACAACCAAACAAAACAGAAAAGGAACGCCUUCACUGAAGGAAGACUGUGACAGAGACCAGGAUGAGACCUACACUCUUCAUCCCCUGCUGAGACACAGGCUCCUUCAAGAAGCUUCUCAGACUCCCUGCGGCUGAUUCAAGGUUCAAGCAUUGUGCCCUGGGACUCUGCAGCGUCCCACCCGCUGGAGCCACAGGGGUGGGGGGGUGGCCAGUGCGGGGCAGGAUGGGGUCUAGGGCCACACCCAGGGAGGCCCGCAGCGCUGCACUCGGAAAAGCCAAGAGGGAAGGACAGCGGCCCCAGGAGCCCCCAGGUCAUGAGGCAUGAGGUCCGCGGCUGAGCCGGCCGCCUCAGCCCCACCUCGGCCGCCACCACCUGGCUCAGAGCCUCACGUGGCAGCGCGGGACCUGCCACUGACCAGUACUCCCUCCCGUGGGCCCCAUGGGCCCUCCCACCCUCCCGGCAGGAGGUGGAGAACUCAGAGAGAACGGCACCGGGGCCUUGACUGAGCUCCCGUGGGCUCUCCGAUCUCCAUG
rnacentral:lncRNA from 12 species